UCCGUCCACAUGACAGAAGGUGGAACCAGGAUUCACACGAUGUGUGAAAAAGGUGAGUUAGCCAUUCUGUCCUGAACGUGUCCUACAAUAAUCUCAGAUUAAACUGUAGAGAAAGUGUGUAUGCUAGCUGGAAAUGUUGUUCAUUUACUGUCAGAGCCACUGACACAGUUUUUCUUCUUUGACUUCUUCGUUUCACUGAGGUGAUCAUGACUGAGAUGACACACGGCCGUCGGCCUGAAGGACAAGCAAGGUGGACCACAGAGACCCAACUUCUGUUGUACAUCCAAGGUUUCCAUGGCGAUGAAGAGCUCCCAGCCAGAUGACAGCAGCUGUUAAGACAAAGAACAUGAAGUUAUGACUCUGAGUGGACGUCCACCAGACUCCAGCUGGAUAAAACGAGCUCCUGAUGGCGGACGUCAACACAUCCCAGGAAGCUUCAGCAGCACCGCCGUCCCCUGAACACACUCCUGCACCAAACCUGCUCCCAGACCCUAAACCAGGGUUUCAACCCGCCGCCAUGAUGAAGAGCACAGCUGCACACAUGAAGCACAAAGACCCUCUGAACAUCUGCUGGCCUCCGUCUGCAGACAUCACUAGGCUUUACAGAGACACUGCUCUGCAUGAGACCUUCACCUCACGCCGCCUCAGAACGGUGAGGAAGAUCCUGGAGGACUCAUCUGCUCACCGUGCGCUUGAACUGCAGUCAGGCCGACGUUACCGAACAAUCCAAACCAGGACCCCAACAUCUUUUACACAACAGUCAGAACUGUAAAAAAAAACAGAAUUUAGUAAAAACAUGUUAAAACUCAGCUUAACGUCUGUGUUUAACAUCAUGUGUGUAAAACUGCUCAUUUUAAAAUGGUUUCAUGUUACUUUAACUUGUUUUUAAUGCUGUGCAUUUAACUUAACUUGUGUUUACAUGUGUGUAUGAAAUGCUUUUAAAGUACCAUCAUGUAUUCUACUCGUUCUUAUUGGGUUUCUAUUUAUUAUUUAAUGUUUAAAAGUGGAGCUAUUGUGCCAACCUAGUUUUGUUGUAAUUAUCUGAAAUGAUAAUUAAAUGUUAUUCUUGAA